rnacentral:ncRNA from 1 species
UGAUUCAAAACACAUGUUUCUGAUCAUUUUUUCACUUACCCUGUGAGGCAAGGGGGCGAGCCCUGAGGGGGGGCUCUUGCUUCUGGCACCAAACGUCCGGCUCGUGCUGGGCAUGACCUGCUCUGGGGACAACAGCAGGUGGGGAGUUUGACUGGGGCAGUACACCUGUCAAAGCAUAACGCAGAUAUCCUAAGGCGAGCUCAGGGAGGACAGAAACCUCCCGUGGAGCAGAAGGGCAAAAGCUGUCUUGAUCUUGAUUUUCUGAACAAAUACAGACCGUGAAAGUGGGACCUCACGAUCCUUCUGGCUUUUUGGGUUUUAAGCAGGAGGUGUCAGAAA